UGAACAUUAGUGCCUUAACUAUGCCUCUACCGACUUUGAGAGGGCUUGUUUGACUCUGUGGAGAACAUGGCAAGAAGGGAAACGCACCACGGUAAAAAGCUGCAGGGAAGCGGGGUUUGCAAACCGGAUUUCUUUGCAAGGGUUCGAAGCUGCGAUAGUGAAUGGCGCCAAGUGUUCGACGCUGUAAGGCAAACGUCCGUAGUUGGCAUACUUUGACUUUGAUGUGUCCAUGAUACAAAAUUGUCAGAGAUCGAUCUUGAUUGAACAGUGAAAUGCAGUGAAGAUGGUGAAGGCGCACGCCAUAUAGAGGAACUUUUUACACAAGAUAUUUUUCAAUUUGAGUAGUACAAAAAAUCUCUGUUGUAGAUGAAAUAAGUUCCACAGUUUCAUUGGCAUAUCAAAAUAUAUCUGGCCCAGACAUGACCAACGUUUCCAGCCACGGCAGUCUUUCUCUACAAUUUUGUCUCAAACACAUGAAGAAAUUCGAAGAAUUCGGAAACCACAUGAUGGCACGGCAUGUGUGCAUAUAUAGGUUGAUAUAGACGGAUGGAUUCCUUCUCGUACAGGCUAGGCCGCACAAAUGGAGAGCGAGCUCUGGCUGCUAUGGGCGACGCUCGUCGUGUCUCUCCUCUACUACCUGAGCAGCCUGAGACGAGGCACGGGCACCCCGCGGCUGCCGCCGGGACCCAGGCCGCUCCCUCUCGUCGGCAACCUCCUCGACCUGCGCGGCCAACUCCACCACACGCUCGCCCGCCUCGCACGCGUCCACGGCCCCGUCAUGCGCCUCAAGCUGGGGCUCACCACGGCCGUGGUCGUCUCCUCGCGCGGCGCGGCGAGGGAGGCGUUCGCGAGGCACGACCGCCGCCUCGCCGCGCGCGCCGUCCCGGACGCCGCCCGGGCGCUGAGGUUCUCCGACCGCUCCAUGAUCUGGCUCCCGAGCUCCGACCCGCGGUGGAAGGCCCUGCGCGGCAUCGUGGCCACGCACGUCUUCUCCCCGCGCGGCCUCGCCGCGGCGCGCGGCGUCCGCGAGCGCAAGGUCCGCGACCUGGUCGGCCACCUCCGAGACCGCGCCGGGCUGGAGGUGGACGUCGGCCAGGCCGUGUACGGCGGCGUGCUCAACCUCGUGUCGAGCGCCUUCUUCUCCGUCGACGUCGUCGAUGACGUGGGCGCCGAGUCGGCUCGGGGGCUUCGGGAGCUCAUGGAAGCGAUCAUCAAGGCGAUCGCGAAGCCGAACGUCUCGGACCUUGUCCCGUUCCUCCGGCCGCUUGACCUGCAAGGAUGGCGCCGCCGGACAGCCGGGCACUACUGGGAAAUCUUCCGCAUCUUGGAUGGCAUAAUUGACCGCCGGCUGGCCGAGGCCUCCUCCUCAUCCAAGGUCACGCACGGCGACUUCCUCGAUGCGCUCCUCGAGCUCCUGUCCGCGGGCAAGGUCGCUCGUGACAACCUGACGACCAUCCUUUUCGACGUGUUCGUAGCCGGGAGCGACACCAUAGCGAUCACGGUUGAGUGGGCGAUGGCCGAGCUGCUCCGAAACCCGAGCAUCAUGGCCAAGGUGCGCAUGGAGCUCGAUGGCGUUCUCGGCGACAAAGAAACUGUCCAGGAGCCCGACGUGGCGAGCCUGCCGUACCUCCAGGCCGUGGUGAAGGAGGCGAUGCGGCUGCACCCGGUGGCGCCGAUACUGUUGCCGCAUCAGGCCGUAGAGGACGGUGUCGAGAUCGGCGGCUACAUGGUGCCCAAGGGGAGCACCGUCAUCUUCAACGCCUGGGCGAUAAUGCGGGAUCCGGAGGUGUGGGAGAGGCCGGAGGAGUUCGUCCCGGAGCGGUUCUUGGACGAGGCUGCAAGUGUGGAGUUGAGGGCGAAGGACUUCGAGUUCAUCCCGUUUGGGGCCGGACGGAGGCUGUGCCCUGGCUUGCCCAUGGCAGAGCGUGUUGUGCCGCACAUAGUGGCAUCAUUGCUACAUGGGUUCGAUUGGCGCCUGCCCGAGGGUGUAUCCAAUGAGCAAUUGGACUUGAGCGAAAAGUUUACUACUGUAAAUGUACUGGUCGUCCCACUUAGGGCAGUGCCCGUUAUGAGAACCUAGUUGUAUAGGGUCAAUGCAAAAUUGCAAAUAAAGGCGUGUUUUUUUUUAAUUUUAAUGGCACCGCCGUGGAUGAAUGAGCAAAUAAAGGGCAUUUAACUAGCAUGUCGCAUAGUUUAAUGUUGGAAAAUAGCGAGGUGGCCAGCGCAAAUUGUGUGGGCCAGAGUUAAUAUAGACUUUGAUACAAUGUAACUAAAAUAAAAACGGAUGUGUAGCGCCGGACGUCCGAUAAUUUUUUAAUCGGACGCUCCAUCGUAACAUUGAAAAAUAACUAUCAAAACAUCAAAAAUCAACACUUGAACAUGAGAACAUGCACUAAAAAUAGUUUUGGAACUCAUGCACGCCAUCCAUCUUAUUAUAGGAUAAAAAAUUCUCGUGCGCAGUAUUUCAUCAUGUUUCACGCAACAUUCAUCAGAAGAUAAAUUUGCAACACCUUUACGUGAAUGAAACAUCUCUCACUUCGUGCAACAUUCAAAACAGACACAUUGCAACAAUAAAAAUCACAAGUUGAAACAUCCCGAAUAGAAACAAUCUUGCGAUCUCGGCCAAAUCAAGUAUUGCAACAACAAAAAAACAUCUCUUACAACAUUGCAACAACAAAAAAGCAUCUCUUACAGCAUUGCAACAACGAAAGAAGAAGAGGCCGAAACAAAGAAAACAACCAUAUGCAACAUCAUGAACAAGUUGGUGCAACACCCAAUUGCUAGCAAGUCGGACUGUUGCAAACAGAUGAAACAUCAAAAGCCAACUGUUGCAACAUCCAAAAAUCUCUACUGCAACACUAGGAGGUACCUAUCGCAACAUGGAGCCGUCAGUAGGCGCGAGCUUCUACUGCUCCGGUUCGCUAUGACGUUGAGCAUCACACUGAGGAGAUGGAGCCCGCUCAGAUCCACGAUGACCAACCGGAGGGACAACCGUCCGGCGCAGCCACCGGUGUCGCCUUCAUCGCCGAGAAGCCUCCAGGGGUGGGAGGAAGGCGCGGCGCGACGGGGUCGUAGAUGCAGAGGCCGGCGCGCUCCGCGAACAGGGCGCUACGGUGGAGGACGAGGAGGUUGCCGUGGGACUCCACAGGCGUGUACCUGUCAAAACACAUCCGACGCGAACACCCACCGCGACCGCCAUGCGACCUCCGCGUGGUGUCGCAUUUGGUGCUCAAGGCUCUGUUCAUGGAGGAAGAGCGACGCUGUAGGGCCGAUAGGCGGCGGGGAUCCGGGACCUGACACCAAGGAGCGGCGCUAACUUGGCACAUUCAACACGGCAGAGGAGGUUGCCAUCGUCUACAACCACGCCACUGCGACUGAUUGAGGAAGAAGGAUAUCUAAUUUUUUCUAAGCUCAAUCGGUGGAAGGUGGGACCUAGGGGCAGUAGAAAAUGAGUGGAUGAGAAUGAAAGCAUGUGUCCUGAACGGUGGAAGGUGGGACCAAGAACGUCCGAUUUUUCUAAUCCUCUCCGGAUGUCAGGUUCCUAGCAUUUCCGAAAUAAAAAUGGCAAAACAAUUGUUUUCAUCUUAGAGCUUCCCGACCUAAGUCAAUCUAUCAACAACUACUCUGCCACUUAAGUUAAAAGUAUGAAAUGCGAAAAUUUAAAGGAGUGAGUUAGAAAAGAUGCAAACUUGACUCAAUAAUUUAUUCCGUGGUAUCGGUAGGUAAAUGUUACCCUUAGUUCACGUGGAAGUUUCCCAAAGGUACACUUCCAUUCACCAAGUCUCUCCUAGUCAAGAACUUUGGCUCACCACGAAGUCUCCCAACAAGACGGAUGAGAAGCUUGUCAUGAAGGAAACUCUCACCACUCCCUUCGUCGUCGCCGCUCCACACCAUACCAAGCCUAAGCUUUAAUGAUUUGCCAAGGAGUGCUAGAGUACCAAGUUUAUAUGGUUGGUUCGCUCUAACAAACAAGCACAAGGAAACAAGCACAAGGAAACAACACCUUGCUCUAUCACUCUCUAGGCCUAAUCUAACACUAACCACUCUCUAAAUAUGUGUUAAUUGUUUUGGGUGACUAACUUAGCAAUUUUGUGGUAUGUACGUGUCUUCAUGUACCUUAGACUCCCUUAGACUUUAACACUCUUCAGCAACUCGCUUGUCCUUGCUAAUAUUCUCAAGUUAUACCUUGCUCACUCAUGGCUUUGUCGUGCCCCCUGACGCUGUAGAGAUCACAGCUCCAUCAUUUGCAAUACCUGAGUUGAUCCUUUGUCAUGUCCCUUUCUUUAUGAAGACUGCACUAUGUAAAAAAAUUGGCGACGAGUAUACAAGUAAUUCCCUGGUAUGUUUUGUGGAGAAAGAAAUGUUGACCUCAAUUACUAUUGAAGUGAUCGUGGACCAUUUCUAUAAGAUUAAAGAGCAUAGAAAUGAUGAAAAAUCGUAUAGAUGAUGAAGUCAAGCAGUACCAUUUAUACCUUUGUUGCCUUUUUAAUUUUUCCUUUGUUGAUUACAUUAUAAUUGGUUAGUUCUAACACUUUUUUAGAGUAUGCUAUUUUAGUAUUUUGUGAAAAUGAUGCAAAGGAAUAUUUCAUUUUGCCCUCUACAACGUACAAAGCAUGCAUCAUCGUUAUGCUAUUGAAUGUGGUAAAAUGUCAUUUUGAUAAGAUUUAUUUAAUUAUGUCUGACUUUCUAUGUGUUGAUAUUGCAAGGAAUCAGUGCUCGUAGCCUAAGAGGGGGAGCCUAAGAGGGGGAGGGGUUGAAUUAGGCAAACUUAAAACCUUAACCUAUGGCUUCCACUGCCAUGCAUCAAAACAUACACUAGAUCAUACUAUCUAGAUGUGCUUCUAUGGUUAAUCUAGUGAAACUUCCCACCCAAAAGGACUUUUACAACCUAAAGUCAAUCCUAUCAUGAUACUACUCUAGAAAGUAAAGGUACUCAAGUUGCGGAAACAUAAAGGAGUGGGUUAGGAAGGAUGCAAACUCGGCACGACGAAUUUAUCCCAUGGUAUCGGUAGGAAAAUGUGACCCCUAAUCCAUGUUGGAGCUCCACCAAGGAUAUGCUCCCGGUCAUCAAGUCUCUCUCAGUCAAGGUCUUGGGCUCGCCACAAAGGCUCUCGCCAAGUCAUAUGAGAAGCUUGCCACAAAGGCAAGGCUCACCACUCCCUCUCUUCCAGUCACCUUGAUGUCAUCUCCACUACAGAGCUUCUGCAUGAAGGAAGAGGUCUCCUUGUCCCCCGCACAUGAUCGUCGCCACCACUCCACACCAAGCUGGAGGGUCAAAGACUUGCCGGCGAGCCACCAAGGCCCCAAGGUGUCAGCACACCAAGCUUACAAUGGUGGUUAACUCUUUAAACCAAUCAUAAGGUACCAACACCUUGCAGUCACUCUCUCUAGGCCUAUCCUAGCACUAAUCACUCUCUAAGCAUGUGCUAAGUCUGGGAUCAAUCACUUUUGCACUUUUGGUGGCAUGGAUGUAUUCUUAAUGAGUCUUGGUCUUGAAUGCACUCUUGGACACUCCAGCAACUCGAAAUGGAUGAGUAGAGAGGGUAUAAAUAGCCCAAAGGCCUCGAAGAGCCGUUGCACCAAAGACUAGUAAAAUCUGUGAGCAUCGGAUGAUCUGAUGGUCACAUUUGUAGGCAUCGGAUCAUCCGGUGCCCCCUGCUAACGCAUAUAGCCAUUGGACCCCCUGCUCAAAUUCAUCUGACGCUUUAUUCGAUGCACCGUCAGAAUAUCCGGUGCUGAAGGGGUUUCACCCGGAACCUCUUUGGAUGAUUUUAAAGUAAAUAUGCUUCAUCCGACGGUCACCUCCACAAGGCAUCGGAUCAUCCAGUGCUAUAAGUCUUUUUCUCUCUGCUCUGUGAAUUAAUUCGACGCCUUGUUCGAUGGCUGCUCUGAUGGAUAGCGGGGCACAAUUAAUCAAUGAUCAAAGACCGAACUGAAAUACCCAGACCAAAAUCGAAAUAUUCGAUCCUAAAUUCAGUUCCUAGUUCUUGAUAACUGAAAUAAAUUCAGUUUUUUCGGUUCCCACCCUUGGGUCCCCAAUUUAACCUAGAAAACGAAUAGGCCCAAUAGUACUUUAACAGACCAAGCUAGCCCAAGAGCAUAACUAACCGUAACACACACGGACACACCUCCCUCAAGGGGUCAGGCCUCAUCCACUCAUCCCUCCCUCCCAAUCUCAUCCUCACCCCGUUGGCUGCCGCCUCCCACCCGCGGGGGGAGAUCGCACGCUCCCUCCCACUGGAGGUGAGCCGGUGCACAGCCGAACGCCCACCUUCCUCUCCUCCGUCCCUCCAUGCUUGCCCGCGAUGCCAGGCUCCAUUUCCCUUCCCCUAACCUCUACUCCUCCAAGCUCCAGGUCAUCGCCCGCCUGUCCGCUCGCGCCGCACUCGACGGCACCCGGCCAGCGGCCGCCCGCGCGUCCCUGGUGCUUUGAUUCUUAUUGGUUGCUCGCGCUCGGCAAUCAGAUGGUGGCAGCUCCUUUCUCCUUGUCUCCUUGAGAUCGCAACACGUGAUACAUUUUGGAAGCGAUUUUCUUUUAUUUGUAUUUCAUCGCUGUUAUUUGUGUUUCAUCUGUGCUAAUUUGUGUGGAUUUUGUGUUGAUUUGUGCCUCAAUCCUGUGUUGUGAUGGUUGAUUCUCCGUAAUUUUUGGAUGUAUUCUCUGUUGGCUGACCGAGACCGAGACCGAGACCGAACUAAUGGAGACCGAAUUCGUCGGUCUUGAAAAUUUCUAGUAACCGAUCGGUUCCGAUUUUUGAUAAUUGAAUUAAUAAAAGACCGCGAUCGGUUCAGUUCAGUCUAACCAAAUGCCCACCCCUACCGAUGGACUGUCGUACAUCUGGUGCUACUGUUGAAUACUGUCAUUUGAGCACCAUGAAUAUAGGUACUUGAAUACCAUAGAAUAAUUGUAGAUACCAUGGUUUGAAUCCUACAAUACCAUGAUUUGGAUAUCAAGAAUACCAUCAUUUUGGAUCAUCCCAUGAUUUAGUUUGCAUUCUUGUGACCUAUAAAAGUUACAGGAUACAAGCUAGACAAGCCAUUUGCCUCAAUGACUAUGUUGUCACUCAAUCACCAAAAUCACAAACUAUGACCUAAUGGAGUCAUGUUUCUUACAGAUAUCUUUUUAUCUUUGUUCGUGUAUCCAUAGUACUUGUUUUGUGCAGGUGUGGAGGGAGAGGAGGCUGAGGGGGCAUGUGCCCUCCUCCCCCCUUCCCCAAUGCCAAGGACACUCGCUGGUGUAUACCAAUUUUUACCACUAGUCCAUUAAUCCAUGCUCCACACGGGCUAAUAGUUCUAAGAGAUAUUGUAGUAGAACGUUGUUUAAAAAUUUGAACGCUAGCUAAUAAUAAAAUUUUUUAAUCGAGACAUUUAGAAUCAUACAUUGGUUUUUUUGAUAUUUCUGUAUAAUAAACAUUCAUAUAAUUAUUUUAAGAUUUAGAUGUCUGUUUUAUAUUUUUUUAGUAAUGAAGUAUGUAAGUAAUUUAGAUAUAAAUUUAGAAUGGUAUUUUAAGUUAUUUUUUAUAAUGACAUUCAUGGGUAGAAUUUUAGAUGAAAAUUAUGGAGUUACUUUAAAUUAUUUUUAUAAUGACAGAGCUGGAAAAUUUAGAUAUAAGUUUAGGAGUUUAUUUUAGAAUAUUUUUAUAAUGAUAGUGGUAGGUAAUUUUUAAAAAUAUAAUAUAAUAGACUAAGAUUAUGAUUAUUAGAGUAUACAAGAUUGAUACCGGAUGUUUAUGAUUUUUGUGGCAGUUCAUAGGAUUUAUCUUUUUUUCUAGCGUGUCUCGCUAAUGCGGAGUCUCCAAUUGAAAAAAAUCAGGGUACAUAGCUAAUAAUAAAAAAUGUUACCUUAAAAAAUAUAAUAGAUCAAUGACUAUGAUUGUUAGAGUCUACAGGGUUGAUACCCUAAUGUUUAUAAUUUUGUGGUAAUUCAUAGGAUUUAUCUUUUUUUCCUAACGUGUCUUGCUAAUACAGAGCCUCCAAUUGAAAAUAAUGAGGGUACAUAGCUAACAAUCAAAACUAUUACAUUGAACUCUCUCAUUUGUUAAAUAUUCUAACACAAUAUAUCAUAGAUAUAUACUUAUUAUCUUCACAUAGAUUUUAGUUAGUAAUUACUUAUAACAUUUCCAUCCACAUUUAUAAUAUUUCCUUUUUUCACUUUGCAUCACGGUUAUGCACUAGAAUUUGUUUAAUAGACAUUAAAUUUGAGCUAUAUUUUUAACAUAGAAAUCUAUAUUCUACUCACUUACACUAUAUAUUUAUAAAUGGUGACGCACAUCAUGGAUAAUACCUUGAUUAUUUUUUUCUAUACCAACAAUAUAAGAAAUAAAUAAUUUAAAAUCAUAUACUGCUGUUCCUUAGGGUAUAUUUUUAAUGAAGAUGAUUUGGAUUCAAAUUUAGGGUUAUCACAUUUUAUUUUUAAUAAUUACGUAUGUGCAUAAUUUUGAUCCAAAAUUAAGGGUUACUUUAAAUAUUUUGUUAAUACAAAUUAUUAUUUUAUAAUGACGUAAGUAGGUAAUUUAGAUGAAGAUGAGGGGUUACUUUAUUUUAUUAUAUAUAAUGGCAGAGGUGGGUAAUUUAGAUAUAGAUUUAGGGGGUUAUUUUUGGUGAUUUUCAUAAUGGCAUAGGUGGGUAAUUUUGCGAAAACAUAAUAGAUUCAAUGGCUAUGAUGAUUAGACUACUGUACCGAUGGCUAGAUGUUUUGCUUUUUUGAGAGAAUUUCUAGGAUUUCUCUCCUUUUAUAGAGUGUCCACCUAGAAUUCCUAGAUAGUAUCAAAAGAAGCAUCCAAUUAGUAAUAGUAAGAUAAGAUGUAAAUUAAAGAAUCAAAGAAAAACAAUUAAAUUUGACCACUAUUUUGGCUUUGUUUCCGAUUUUAUGAGUGCACCACUUCUUGGAUUUUAUCCUGAAUCGGUCAUGUAUGACUAUAGAUGCUAUGUAAAGAACGAUUGAUAGGCUAGUCAAACAGCAAAUAACAUUGCUGAGCACACAGUACUUCACGUGUGGCGCGCCUAUAUACCUUCAGAGUUCAGAUCAUCUAGACACCGGCAACUCCAAUCGCUCCGAAUAUUUUUUUUAAUAAACAAGUGCUCCGACUCUCACAUGCACACGGAUAGAAUCCUCAAUCCUGACUCCUCUCUACAGACCAACUAGCUAAGCCACACAAAUGGAGAGCGAGAGCUGACUGCUGUUGGUGACGACGCUCGCCGUCUCGCUCCUCUGCUAUCUCGCCAGCGUCCGACGCCGUUCAUCAAGUGGGGCCCGGCGGCCGCGCGGCCUCAGGCCGCUCCUGCUGAUCGGCAACAACCUCGACCUCUGCAUCGGCAACCUCCACCACACGCUCGCUCGCCUCGCGCGCGCCCACAGCCCCAUCAUGUGCCUCGAGCUCGGGCUCACCACGGUCGUGGUCAUCUCCUCGCGCGACGCGGCGGCGGAGGCGUUCACGAGGCACGACCGGCGGCUCGCCGCGCGGGCCUUGCCGAAUGCCACCCACGCGCUCGAGUUCUCAGAGCGCUCCAUGGUGUGGAUGCUGAGCUCCGACCCGCGGUGGAAGCACCUGCGCGGCGUUAUGGCCGCGAACAUCUUCACGGUGCACGCCGCCCGAAAACGCAAGGUGCGCGACCUAGUGGGCUACCUCCGUGGGUGUGCCGCCGCGCCGGGUGAGAGGUGGUCGUCAGCGAGGCCAUGUAAUGCUGCACUCUGAACCUAGUGUCGAGCACCUUGUUCCUCGGUCACUUUGAUACUGUUUCCACUAAGGAGUUUCUUCAUGAAGGAAGGAGGUCUUCAUGUCCCCCGCACAAGGUUGUCGAUGCUGCUCCACACCAAACCGGAGGGUUGAAGACUUGCUGGCGAGCCAUCAAGGAGCCGGCACACCUCUUGUACAACGGCGAUUCACUCUAAAACCUGAUCACAAGGUUGGCACACCUUGCACUCACUCCUUUCUUGGCCUAUCCUAGCACUAAUCAAUUUUCUAAGCUUGUGCUAAGCCUUUGAUGCAUCACUUAAACACUUUUGGUGGCUUGGAUGUGUUCUUGAUGAGUCUUGGUCUUCAAUGCACCCCUUGACACUCCAGCCACUCCAAAUAGGCGAGUAGUGGGGGUAUAAUUAGCCCCAAGGGCUCAAAGAGCCGUUGCUCCAACGGCUAGCGAAAAAGUAUACCAUUGGAUGUCCCAAUGGUCUAUUUUUAGCCUGCAUCGGAACAUCCGGUGCAUCUAGCUAUUGGACUCUCCGCGCCCAAAUUUCUCAGAAAUUCAUCCGACGCUUUAUCCGAUGCCCCCAUCGGAUCAACCGAUGCCACUAUUCACGUCACAUAGCCGUUGGAUCCCCUGAAGUCAUUGCUCCGAUGCUUUCUCUGAUGGUGCCGUCAGAUCAUCCGGUGCUAAAGGAUUUCUAGCCAAAACCUUCUAUAAAGGAUUAAAGAAAAUAUACUUUGUUCGACGCUCCUUUUGUGUAUACCAUCGGAUCAUCCCGUGCUAUUGAGCUUUCUCUAUCUUCCAAGCUUGUCCCUUAGAAUUCGUCCGACGCUACUAGAAAAGUGACUAUCGGAACAUCCGAUGGUUGACUUUGUCUGGUUUUCUCCAUAGCAUACCAAUUACUCCGAUGCUUGUUCCGACGCUUUUCAGGUGGGGCAUCGGAACAUCUGAUGGUGCAUUUUUCAUUCCAAAUCAUCUAAUGCAAACACCAAAGAUACCGUCACUUGGACCAGCAGCGACACGAUUGCCAUCACAGUGGAGUGGGCAAUGGCCGAGCUCCUCCGCAAACGGGACGCCAUGGACAAGGUGCGCGAGGAGAUCAAGGCCACCAUCGGCGGCAAGGAAGCCAUCGAGGAGCCCGACACGGCGAGCCUGCUGUACCUCCACACCGUGAUGAAGGAGGCGAUGCGGCUGCACCUCGUGGCACCCAUUUUGCUACCCAACCAAGCCAUCGAGGAUGGUGUCGAGAUCGGCGGCUACACGGUGCCCAGGGGGUCCAUGAUGAUCUUCAACGCAUGAGCAAUCAUGCAUGACCCGCCGGCGUGGGAGAGGCCAGAUGAGUUCAUCCCGGAGAGGUUCUUGGACCUGGAAGUCAAGGUAGACUUCAGAGUGAAAGACUUCAAGUUCAUCCUGUUUGAAGCUGGCCGGAGGGUGUGCCCCAGCAUACAAUAGCGGAGCGUGUGGUGCUGUUCAUACUCGCGUCGCUACUACACGCAUUCAAGUAGCGCCUGCGGGAUGGCAUGUCCGCCGAGAAGUUGGACAUGACCGAGAAGUUCACCACCGACAAUGUCAUGGCUGUCCCUCUCAAGACCGUGCCGGUCGUCAUCUAGAUGCUGCUAGAUGUUGGAAUUUGGGCAAUUGGAGGGCUCAGACAAUGCCAUUUUAAUGGCAUAUUGGCAAUUUGGCAAUUAUGAAGCAACAAAUCCAUUGAUCGAUUGUCCUCAAUCCCAUCUCAGCUAAAUGUGUAUACUCCUAUAAUGUGUCGCUUUGGUCUUGACACCAUUUUCCUAUAUGUUCGGCAACUUUGUGAUUGGUUGGUUGGACAUUUCCGCGUUUUUCUGUUGAGUAAAAUAUACAAGUGGUACAUCAACUUGGCAGCAAGUGUCAUCCAGGUCUCCAAACUUACAAAAUGCACAUCUAAAUCCCUAAACUUGUUAAUCGUUUCAUGUGACGUCCAAAUCUCCAUAACUUGCAUUAAACGGCAUGCAUGCUGACGUAAACAUGGCAUGUAGGGCCCACAUGUUAGGUCCACCCAUCUUCUCUCUUCCUCUCUGUGGGGACUUGGGAGGAUGAACUACGUUGAUGAUUCGAAGCUCGAUGUGGCUGGUCUUCUCGUUUCGCGCAGAGCUUCAAGUUUGAUUUGGGGAUCGUGGAGCACCUUCUAGUGGGCUGGGCGUCAAUUUCUCGGGGGAGCAGUGCCCGAUGCCCAGUUUCUCGUGGAAGAUGUGGAAGCAAAGGCGGGGCUCAAUAGCGAAGACACUGUGGACCGCAGCGCAGGUGCUGUGGAUCCAGCGGCAGAUCUUGGAAUCGAGUGUGUCCUACUCGAGCCGUUGGACGUCACCAAUGUUGAGCUUCUCGACGCUGAGCUCCUUUUGUGCAUACCAUCGGAUCAUCCCAUGCUAUUGAGCUUUCUCUGUCUUCCAAGCCUGUCCCUCGAAUUCAUCCAACGCUACUAGAAAAGUGACCAUCGGAACAUCCGAUGGUUGACUUUGUCUAGUUUUCUCCACAGUGUACCAAUUAUUUUGACGCUUGUUCCGACGCUUUUCAGGUGGGGUAUCGGAACAUCUGAUGGUGCAUUUUUCAUUCCAAAUCGUCCAAUGCAAGCACCAGAGCUACUAUCACUUGGAUGGUCUCUGUAUUUUUUCUAUCAUUUGGAUGCUUCAAUACCAUAGAAUAAUCCUAGAUAUCAUGGCUUGGUCACUUAAAUACCAUAACUUGGAUACUCGAAUACCAUGACUUGGAUGUUAAGAAUACCAUCAUUUGGACCUUGCCAUUGUUUGGUUUGCAUUCUUGGGACCUAGAAAACCUACAAGGUACAUGCUAGACAAAGCAUUAGUCCCAAUGACUAUGUUGUCACUCAAUCACCAAAAUCACAAACUAUAGCUUAAUGAGGCCAUGUUCGCUACACAGCCAUGAGCCCGACGAGGCUGAGUCCUCCACCAUGCGCCAGGCUGAGGAGGUGCUCUCCUUCAUGGAGCGUGAGGUCGAGCGCCGCAACCGCAAAGCCGAGCUCCUCGCCCUCGCGCGCCUCCACCCGGUCUCCACCCUUGACCCCUCCUCCUUCCUUCUCUCCUCUCCCGCCACGCCACCGCCGCGCCUACAGCCCACCAUGCCGCCCUCGCCACCGCCGGGAGAGGAGGAGGGGCGUCGCCGUUGGGUGAGGAGGGGCGCCUCCGCCAAGACAGGAGGAGCGGUGCCGGGCAGGGGAGAGCCGACGGGAGAGAAGGAGAGGCGCCGCCGCUGGAAGAGGAGGAAGGGCGUCGCACUGGGAGAGGAGGAGCGGUGCCGGGCAGGGGAGAGCCGGUGGAAGAGGAGGAGGGGAGCCGCCGUCGAGAGAGGAGGAGCGGUGCCGCCGCUGGGAGAGGAGGAGCGGUGCUGGGUAGGGGAGAGCCGGCAGGAGAGGAGGAGGGGCGCCACCGUCGGGAGAGGAGGAGGGGCGUCGCUGCUGGGAGAGGAGGAGCAGUGCCGGGCAGGGGAGAGCCGGCGGGUGAGGGAGACGGGAAAAAAAGAAGCGAACCGGUACAACAUAACCAGUGGUAGUGGGUAAUUUCUUCCAACUUGUGAAAGCUAAAGCUCCAGAAAGCACUUACUCUCUUACUGUGAAAAAUAAACUACAUGAAAGUAGCUUUGUCUGUAAGCUAAGGAGUAUCCCUACCCCUUUGGUUUGACUUCUAGCUUCUUUUUUUUUUAGCCACAACACCAGAAAGCCAAAACCAAAGGGAGCCUCAGUCGUUGAAUUUCCGGAUCCGUUGUACCAUGAGAAGUUUGUGCGUGUUUGCUGUUUUGCUUCAGUCGGAAGAUGCCGAUCGAUCGACCAUAUGAACAGCAAUCGGGAUCCUGCAUUUUUGCGGCAUGAGAGUUACGGGUGUUAGGCGUGAAAUCAACAGGAGCGGACAGGAGUGAACACAUUCUGGAUCUCUGAAGUCUGAACCCGUUACUUGAACGUUCAAGAACUCUUGAUGACUUGGGCUACACCUAUCCAUCCAUGUGUGUGGUCCAAGCCAUAUACACAUGGGCAUUAUACAAGGCGCUAAGUCCUAGAGCAGAUCCAAUCCAAGAUAACAGUUACACAUAUUCUUGCAUUAUUUCUGGUCCCUGAAGUUCUGUCAUUUUGUGUAACAAAGAACUCAUCCUCUCUCUCUUUUUUUACCAUGGGUUCUAAUUUUUUAUAAUUUAUCUACCUUUGCCACAAUAAAACAAAUUAACCUUUGAGUGUAUUCUAACUUGGUUGCCACUUUUCAAAAAUUUGCCGAUGGAUCUGCAUUGAAUAAAUGUACUAUUAGUGUUGAUGUUGGGAAAAAAUAGAAGAAACGGAGUGAAUUCUUUUCAAGUUCUGUAUAGGCAUUUUUUUUGGCAAACAUCCAAGUAUUACUAACUUAUACUAACAUUUUUCAAUUAUGAUAUAGGCAAUCAUUGAUCUCAUUCUGUUGAUAAAAAUGUAAGAACUAUAACGAUGCAAACAUAUUAUAAAAAUGGAUUCACGGUUUAUGAAAUAUAAGCAUUUAACUGCAUAAGCUUACUGACUCUACCAUUCUGGUGCGUUCACACGUGCAUUGCCUUGGAUAGUUGGAUGGAAGCAAGUGUCGUUGAAUGGGGGAAAAAAAACCUCACGCAUUCGUAUGGUUGAAUGAGAAAAAAAAAAGGCCUUGCGUGUAGGCUUGUGCGUGCACACUGUCUAGUGAAAAGGGUGUGCAAAUGCCAAAAGGCUAUAACUAUCAUGUUUGACUGUGCAAAUUCUCUUAUCAUGUUUGACUUCACCAUUUUCCAUGUCGUGCCAGAAAGAAUUCCUGCCAGAUCCAGUACAUUUCCACGUAGAGAACACGAGUAGCAAUCAAGGGCACCAACCUCUCUGCAGACUAGACUGACUUCUCACAUGCACGGAUUGAAUCAUGCCGGAACAAGCUACCAGCUACGCCCCACAAAUGGAGCGCGAUCUCUGGUUGCUGUCGGCAACGCUCGCCGUCGUCACGCUGCUCUACUACGCCAGCCUAAGACACCGUUCCGGCGCUGCACGGCGGCCGCCGCCCGGCCCUAGGCCACUCCCACUCAUCGGCAACCUCCUCUCCCUCCGCGGCAACCUCCACCACACGCUCGCGCGCCUCGCCCGCGCCCACGGACCCGUCAUGCGCCUCCGGCUGGGGCUCUCCACGGCCGUCGUCAUCUCCUCGCCCGACGCGGCGAGGGAGGCGUUCACGAGGCACGACCGCCGCCUCGCCGCGCGCGCCGUCCCGGACACCGCCCGCGCCCUCGGCUUCUCGGCGCGGUCCAUGAUCUGGCUGCCGAGCUCCGACCCGCUCUGGAGGACCCUGCGCGGCAUCGUCGCGACGCACGUCUUCUCCCCGCGCGGCCUCGCGGCGGCGCGCGGCGUCCGCGAGCGCAAGGUCCGCGACCUGGUGAGCUACAUCCGUGGGCGCGCCGGGCGGGACGUCUACGUCGGCCAGGCCGUGUACGGCGGCGUUCUCAACCUGGUGUCGAGCGCCUUGUUCUCCGACGACGUGGUCGACGUGGGCGCCGAGUCCGCGCAGGGGUUGCGCGGGCUCGUGGAGGAGCUCGUCGAGCUGGUCGCGAAGCCGAACGUCUCGGACCUUCUCCCUCUGCUCCGGCCGCUGGACCUGCAAGGAUGGCGGCGCCAUGCGACCGGACGCUUCGAGAAAGUCUUCCGCGUCCUUGACGGCAUGAUCGACCGCAGGUUGGCCGAGGCUUCCUCUCAGGACAAGCGCGGCGACUUCCUCGACAUCCUCGUGGAGCUCAUGGCCGCGGGCAAGAUCGCGCGCGACAACGUGACGACCAUCCUGUUCGACGUGUUCGCCGCCGGGAGCGAUACGAUGGCGAUCACCGUGGAGUGGGCGAUGGCCGAGCUGCUCCGCAACCCGGGCGCCAUGGCCAAGCUGCGCGCCGAGAUCGAGGGCGCUCUCGGGAGCAAGGAAGCUGUCGAGGAGGCCGACGCGGCGAGCCUCCCUUACCUCCAGGCCGUGGUGAAGGAGGCCAUGCGGAUGCACCCCGUGGCGCCGCUGAUGCUGCCGCACCGGGUCGUGGAGGACGGCGUCGAGAUCGGAGGCUACGCCGUGCCAAAGGGCUGCGCGGUGAUCUUCAACACGUGGGCGAUAAUGCGCGACCCGGCGUCGUGGGAGAGGCCGGACGAGUUCGUCCCGGAGCGUUUCUUGGGCAUUGAGAGCAAGGUAGACUUCCGGGGGAAAGACUUCGAGUUCAUCCCGUUCGGGUCCGGCCGGAGGUCGUGCCCCGGCCUGCCGAUGGCCGAGCGCGUGGUGCCGCUCAUACUGGCGUCGCUGCUCCACGCGUUCGAGUGGCGCCUGCCGGACGGCGUGGCCGCCGGGCGGUUGGACGUGAGCGAGAAGUUCACCACCUCCAACGUCUUGGCCGUCCCUCUCAAGGCCGUGCCCGUCGUCAUCGCCUAGUUACUGCAUGCAGUCUGGCGUGUGCUUAGAAUCGACAGCAGUAUGCCAUAGAUGUAGUCUGCUUCUGCAGAUGGUAGAAAUGGGCAAUUGAAAGGCGCAAAUAAUGCCACUUCGAUCAUCACUUCAAUGGCAUUUGCGAUUUGGCAUGUGUGCACCGACAAAUCCAAUGAUCACUUGUUCCUAUCAUGUCCGCUGAGAAAUACUACUAUUAUACAUGCAUCGAGUUGUGGGUGGUGGUGGAUUUGACACCGUUUUCCCUGAUAUUCAGGAACUUCAAACUCGGAAGUUGGUCCCCGUCGCCGUCCGAUUUGCAGGCUUUGCAGUUUCCUGAAUCCCGAUCCAUGCCGAUAACAACACAACUAUACAAUUUUUUUUUUGGAAAAAUAAGCAGAGCACUGCUAUGGCAUUUAAGAGAAAGCAUGCGAGUCUUACAUAGGUACGAUAUUACAUAAAAGAUAUUACACAACUCAUGAAACUUAACAUAAUUAAACUAGAAAUUCUCCAACUCAUGAGUCCCAUAAUUAAUUUUUUUAAAAAAACAAAACUCGACUAUGCUAUAUGUUGUAAAAGUUAGUACUACGUGUUUGCAGUUUUGGUUCAGUCUCGAGGUGCCGAUCGAUGAACAGCGACCGGGAUUCUUUGUUGUGCGGGAGGCCGGGACUGGCGUCUGGGGCUUACGACUACAAGAGGGAUGGCGUCUGCGAGUGAGGUCGACCGGAUUUGGCGUUAGUGGUUGCUACUUGUGCUCCGUCGCUUUAGGAAAAAAAUUCCAUGAGGACGGUCCCCAAAUUCUUCUAUGUGAGAAUUCACUCCCGAUGGUUGCCGUGUGGUCACAGAAUGGAUCCGACGCUCGCGCUGGCUCGCUUGGCUCCCUCUAUCGCCCGCUUGCUCAGCUCAGCAAUCGGCUCAUAGGCAGAAUUUCAUCUGGCUCCAAACAUCUGGAGCCCUUCUCGUCCCGUGCGGUAUGGCUUCUCCUACAAGUUGAAGAUAUGGCUUCUGCAAAUCUGCCUAAUAUGACAAGAACGAAUAUAUUAGACAAACGAUUAGAAGACCACCCCGAGGCACAUAUUGAUAAGUCAACACUGAGAAUCGUUUAGUCUAGAAAGAGCCACAUUACAUAAUAACCAAGCUAUGAAAAUAUUUUGUAAAGUAUUAUUCAAAGAAUAAAUGAGUUAUAAUCUCAUUCUCUGAAUAGAACCUUCAUUCUUCAUUAUUAUAUUAAUUUCUUUUUAUUAAAUUGUCUUUUUAAAGUAUAUUAUCAUGAUGUAAGCAAUACAAAAAUUUAUAUUUUGAGUGGUAUUUUUGCCUUCUAAACACUCUUAUGAGGGGCCUACAACUAGUUGAUAUACAUAUGAGAGUAUAUUAAAUUCACAAAAAAUCAAACUUCUCUCACGUCCAUUUUCAAAGUCAUUCUUAUUAAGCACAGCAAUAGAGGAUAGCAUGUCAUUCGACCUUCUUAGUUUGUUUUAUAAGUUUUCAUCCAAGCACCUUCUAAAAAGUUAGCCUCCGGUUUCAUAAAGGAAUUUCCAAAACUGUGCAUUGUUGUCCAUUACAGAUAUUAAAUCGUUCCACAUAGGAGAAUUUGUAGGUUUGCUUUUUAGUGGUGUAAUGCAAUGUUGUUUCGUAUAUUUGUUCUUAACAAUUUCUUUGCUAGAGCUCUUCCCCUUUCUAAUUUCCAUCACCAUUUGUAGAGGAGGCUAACCUCAAACCCCUCCUGUUAGGUUUACUAAUUUUGCACCAUUUUACCAAGUGAACUUUUUUCUUGGUCACUCACCCGCUAUAAAGAUCCCUUUGUGGUUUUAUCCAUUCUCUUUUGGAUAUAGUUUAAGGUAGGAGAUGUACCAACGUAUAAUAUAUGGUAUAUUGCUUACACGAGCAUUUAUUAGAGCCAACCCCCACCGUCGACUCCAAUCAAUUGGGACAAUAACCUACCAACUAUCUAGCUAGUAUCUCGAGCAGUUUUUCAUCCAUCCAAAAGGAGGCAGCCCAUAACUCGCAUCUUGAACCCAAUUAUACUCCGGUCAUAAUGUUUCUUCCUUUUAUAAAAGAUAUUGGAUAUAUAUUAGUGAUUUCCAAUGCAACUCUCAAGCCUUAGAAUCAAAGCUUUGCUACAAAUAUAUAUGUAUAUAUACUGUUGUAUUUUAUUUGCUUCUUUUAUUGUCCCAUAAUUCAGCUUACCAUAUGAUGAAAUAAUGGGCUUGACCCAUUCCAAUUUCAGAAAUUCCAAAUAAAUCUCAAAGGCCCAUGUGGGCGUGAGCAAGUGGUUGAGUGGUGCAAACCUUUAGUCCCACAUUGCUAGUGGAGGAAGAGGAUAGCCAACUUAAAUAUGGAGGUUGUCUUCACUCCUCGAAGCUAUGUGUGUGGGGAGAGAAGGAAAGCUCCACACACGCCCUUGCUCACCUCGGCGGGGCGGGGCGGGGUGAAGGGCGCGGGCAUGCGGCACUUGCGUGAAUGGUCCAUCGAAAUCCGGCCCCUCGCCUUGCGGGGGACGUGGUUUCCUCCUUUUUGAGCCGCGGUGAAUAGGAGAGCAGGAAGCGCUCCGCGUGACUGCUCAAGGUCUUCACCACGGCUCAUCUUUCAUCCCAGUCCGGCAUUGCGGCGGCCCAUCAAUCUGUGAUUUCAGCAUGUUUUCUUAGAUAAUGAAGUUGUGCUUGCUGUUGCCUAGUAUGUUAGAAAAUUGCAUACUAGAUUUUAUUCCUGUCAUGAUAAAUCUAGCUCGAAAAUUAAUCAUGCAGUUGUCUAAUUUUCCAACACCAUAUUUAACCUAUGUUCUAGGAAUUUAGAGAACAUGAUACUUGUCCUCCUUGACAAUUACUUGAAAGCUUUGAUAGAGUUUAAUAGGUUGGUGCUCAGGGCAUAGUUUCCAUGGAGAAGACCACAUUUUUUAUUUCCUCUUCAGAGAAAGGUUUAGUAAGAAAGUCAUUAUCCUCUUGGGAUAUGUUUUUCAAAUGGGGGAUAUGUUUUUCAAAUGGGCUCCAGCGUGGGAUCCAUUUUAAUUUCUUGGCUAUAAUAGGACCAAAAGAGCUCCUAGUAGUGCUAAAAAAUGUUUUCAUGAUUUCAUCACCUUCAAUGUGUUCUGAGCUAAACAUAGAAUUCUUUCUCCUUUUCCCCUGCCUCAUUAUGCACAAUUCCAACCUUUACAGCCAUUUUUAUUUCUGGUUCGAUCCUGAACAUAUUGUCGUCUCAAACAUAAACAGCCAGAUCGAAAUGCCACACGAAUACAUCGAGUUACGUAGCAAGACUACAGCAAACACAGUGAGACAGCCCCAGCCCCAACCCCAAAGGCGCCCGCCACACGGAAUUGGACCACGCAGACAAGCGUCUACGAUAGAUACACAAGCACAUCAAGACCGAAGGCGUCGUGGCGAAACCUCCGGAUCACAUCCUCCUCCACGCGCCAAUCAGCACGGUCCGGUCUUCUUGUUCACGGCGUUCCUCCACCGCGCGGCGACCUCCCGCUCGAUCUCUAGGACGCUCUUCUUGGCCACGACGCCGUCGUCCGACUGCGCGGCGGUGGCGCUGGAGACCCGCACGGCGUGGGUGGCGCGGGCGUCCAGCUCGCGCAGGAUCUUCUGGAUGUCGUUCACGAGCCGCUCGGAGAGGCUCCGGCUGAAGUCCUCCCUGAUGACGACGCGGAGCACCGCCACGUGCUCCGCGUCGGCCGGCAUGGUGUACGCCGGAACGAUCCAGCCGAACCGCCGCAGGUUCUCGGAGAUGUCGAACACGCUGAAAUGGUUGCUGUCCUUGAGAGAGAAGGCGACCAGCGGCACGCCGGUCUCCUUGGAGAGGAUGUCGAACCGGCC
rnacentral:lncRNA from 1 species